CGUCUAUAUACGUAUAGCAUAUCAAUAAGCGGAGGAAAAGAAACUAACUAAGGAUUCCCUCAGUAACGGCGAGUGAAGCGGGAAGAGCUCAAAUUUGAAAUCUUCAAGGUUCUACCUUGACGAAUUGUAGUUUAAAGAAGUGUUUUCUGUUGGAAGUUUCGGUAAAAGUUCUUUGGAAUAGGACAUCAUAGAGGGUGAGAAUCCCGUAUUUGACCAUUAUUUCCAGCUGUGUGAUACACUUUCAAAGAGUCGGAUUGUUUGGGAAUGCAGUCCAAAAUGGGUGGUAAAUUUCAUCUAAAGCUAAAUACUGGCGAGAGACCGAUAGCGAACAAGUACCGUGAGGGAAAGAUGAAAAGAACUUUGAAAAGAGAGUUAAACAGUACGUGAAAUUGUCAAAAGGGAAGCGUUUGACACCAGUGUUGUUUUCUCGAAAAUCAAUUAAAAAUGGCUGAUUUUGUGUUGUAUUGACUUAUCAAGCUUUCUUCACUUUUUUCUUGUCUUUUUUAAUGCACUUUUCGUUUAACAAGUCAACAUCAAUUUCUUUUGUUGUAAAAGGGUCAUUGGAAGGUGGCUUUCAUUUCGGUGAAAGUGUUUAUAGCCUUUGACUUCUGCAAUCGGAGAGAUUGAGGUCUGCAGCGUAGAUCCUUCGGGGUUAGAUACAUUUGUGCUAAGUUAUAGUUUUUCAUAGACAACAUGUUGACUAUGAUUAAUCAUGUAGCUUACUCGCUUAUGCUAUUUUACCUACGCUUAGGAUGUUGACGAUCAGCUGAGCGCG
rnacentral:rRNA from 1 species